UCACCGGUUAUUGUACGAUCUCCGAAGUUAAGCAACGUUAAGCCUGGGCAGUACUUAAAUGGGAGACCGCCGAGGAAUACUAGAUGCC